ensembl:snRNA U6 U6 spliceosomal RNA
GCACUCGCUUCAGCAGCACAUAUACUAAAACUGGAACAAUAUAGAGAAGAUUAGCAUGGCUCCUGUAUAAGGAUGACACACAAACUCAUGAAGCAUUCCAUAUUUUU